UAACCUGUCCAAGAGAUCGGGAUAACACCUGGAAACAGAUGCUAAUACCGGAUAAUAACAGAUGAUGCCUAUCAACUGUUUAAAAGAUGGUUCUGCUAUCACUCUUGGAUGGACCUGCGGUGCAUUAGCUAGUUGGUAGGGUAACGGCCUACCAAGGCGAUGAUGCAUAGCCGAGUUGAGAGACUGAUCGGCCACAUUGGGACUGAGACACGGCCCAAACUCCUACGGGAGGCAGCAGGC
rnacentral:rRNA from 1 species